CGUAGGAGGCGAGCGUUAUCCGGAUUUACUGGGCGUAAAGCGCGUGCAGGUGGCUUGGUAAGUUAGGCGUGAAAUCUCCCGGCUCAACUGGGAGAGGUCGUCUAAUACUACCGGGCUAGAGAGCAGAAGAGGAAGAUGGAGUUCCCGGUGUAGUGGUGAAAUGCGUAGAUAUCGGGAGGAACACCAGUGGCGAAGGCGAUCUUCUGGUCUGUUUCUGACACUCAGACGCGACAGCUAGGGUAGUAAACGGGAUUAGAGACCCCGGUAAUCCUAGCCGUAAACGAUGUGAACUUGGCGUUGGUGGGUUAAACUCCAUCAGUGCCGAAGCAAACGCGAUAAGUUCACCGCCUGGGGACUACGGCCGCAAGGUUA
rnacentral:rRNA from 1 species